rnacentral:rRNA from 1 species
CAGCAGCCACGGUAAUACGAAGGGUGCAAGCGUUAAUCGGAAUUACUGGGCGUAAAGCGUGCGUAGGCGGUGAGUUAAGUCUGCUGUGAAAUCCCCGGGCUCAACCUGGGAAUGGCAGUGGAUACUGGCUCGCUAGAGUGUGUCAGAGGAUGGUGGAAUUCCCGGUGUAGCGGUGAAAUGCGUAGAGAUCUGGAGGAAUACCGAUGGCGAAGGCAGCCAUCUGGCCUAAUACUGACGCUGAGGUACGAAAGCAUGGGGAGCAAACAGGAUUAGAUACCCCGGUAGUCCCUGUCUCUUAUAC